CAGCCGGCCAGACAGGUCACAGACAACUCAGGAUGAUGCUGGGAUUGCAGGUUCUGCUUCUGUAAGCCGCCCUCCUCUAAGGCGCCCAUCACAGGGCUCGGGGCACUUACCCAGGAGGCCAAGUAAGACACGGCGUCUUGUCUCUGAAUCUGCGGCUCCAUCUUCCCCACCCAGGCGGCGCAUUUCUGCAGUCUCACCCCAGCCACCACAGGCACUAUUGGCGAGUCCACAGAGUGAUGAGCCCAGAUCACCUCAGUUAUCUGAGCCAAGCUUGAUGCCCGACGUGGACCAGCAGGGACAAGACCAACAGGCAACAUUCACACUGCAACUAACACCUGUUGACCCGAGCCAGCCAAUACAGCCGCAGGAUAUCCCCCAAGCCUCCAUGAGUCCCCAACUGGUACAAGCUCCACCC